rnacentral:rRNA from 1 species
CCUACGGGAGGCAGCAGUAUGGAAUCUUUCACAAUGGGCGAAAGCCUGAUGGAGCAACGCCGCGUGCAGGAUGAAGGCCUUCGGGUUGUAAACUGCUUUUAUAAGCGAGAAAUAUGAUGGUACCUUACGAAUAAGGAUCGGCUAACUACGUGCCAGCAGCCGCGGUCAUACGUAGGAUGCGAGCAUUAUCCGGAGUGACUGGGUGUAAAGAGUUGCGUAGGUGGCAUAAUAAGUAGCUAGUGAAAUCUGGUGGCUCAACCAUUCAGACUAUUAGCGAAACUGUUAAGCUCGAGACCGUUAGAGGUAAGUGGAAUUUCUAGUGUAGGAGUGAAAUGCGUAGAUAUUAGAAGGAACACCAAUAGCGUAGGCAGGUUACUGGGACGGUUCUGACACUGAGGCACGAAAGCGUAGGGAGCAAACGGGAUUAGAUACCCGAGUAGUC